rnacentral:rRNA from 1 species
CCUACGGGGUGCAGCAGUGGGGAAUAUUGGACAAUGGGCGAAAGCCUGAUCCAGCCAUGCCGCGUGUGUGAAGAAGGCCUUCGGGUUGUAAAGCACUUUCAGUGGGGAAGAAAGCCUUGGGGCUAAUACCCUCGAGGAAGGACAUCACCCACAGAAGAAGCACCGGCUAACUCCGUGCCAGCAGCCGCGGUAAUACGGAGGGUGCGAGCGUUAAUCGGAAUUACUGGGCGUAAAGCGCGCGUAGGCGGUCUGAUAAGCCGGUUGUGAAAGCCCCGGGCUCAACCUGGGAACGGCAUUCGGAACUGUCAGGCUAGAGUGCAGGAGAGGAAGGUAGAAUUCCCGGUGUAGCGGUGAAAUGCGUAGAGAUCGGGAGGAAUACCAGUGGCGAAGGCGGCCUUCUGGACUGACACUGACGCUGAGGUGCGAAAGCGUGGGUAGCAAACAGGAUUAGAUACCCGUGUAGUC